rnacentral:tRNA from 1 species
CGGGGGGUAGCGCAGGUUGGCAGCGCGCUUCGUUCGGGACGGAGAGGUCGUGGGUUCAAAUCCCGCCACCCCGA